GAUUUGUCUGGUUGAUUCCGAUAACGAACGAGAUUCUAUCCUACUAAUUAGUAGGCGGAUCGUUUAAAACUUUAUUAUACUCUGUAGACUGAUAUUCUGAAAGUCAGUGUGACGUGUGUGCGUUAAUUUAUUGCUUAGCUUCGGCUAUGGUGAUUUUUUGAUGUAUGUCGUUCAUUGAUGGAUCGUUAUAAACAUGUUGAGAGAGAUAUAUUUAAAGAAAAUACGUCCGUCUUAUAGUCUUCUUAGAGGUAUAAAUGGCGAACCCUAGCCAAACGAGAAAGAGCAAUAACAGGUCUGUGAUGCCCUUAGAUGUCCUGGGCAGCACGCGCGCUACAAUGUAGUGAACAACGUGCAAUUAUUUUCCUAAAAUAAGCCAUUUCCGAAAGGAUAUGGGAACCAUAGUAACACCCUACAUGGUUGGGAUUGGUUAUUGUAAUUUUUAGCCAUGAACCAGGAAUUCCUAGUAAACGUGGAUCAUUUAGUUCGCGUUGAUUAAGUCCCUGCCCUUUGUACACACCGCCCGUCGCUACUACCGAUUGAAUGGUUAAGUAAGGUCAUUGGACUAUCACUUUAAUGAUUUCGUAUUAUAAAAGUUGAUAGGAAGAUGUCCGAAUUGGAUCAUUUAGAGGGAAGUAAAAGUCGUAACAAGGGUUUCCGUAGG
rnacentral:rRNA from 1 species